AUAAAGCUAAUAACCUAUUUAAAUUAUGGGGCCAAUGGCUCGACGAUUGCUUUAAUAAUUGAAAUCUACAAAAAAACCAACAAUUUGGCCCAUUUUUGUACCUAAUCCCUACUCCCACAUUGGGAUAGGGUGUACUUUUGCCCCCAUUAUUUUUUCUCUGUUUUGUUCAUCCCAUUCUUCCGACGAUUGCUUUAAUGAAGCUCCCACAUCUGAGGCUUGUCUCAUGUGUGGGCGUAAAAAGUGGUCUGUGUGUGUGUGUGUGUGUGUGUGGGUGGGUCGAGUAACACCGGUCAACCCAAAUUGUCCAUCUCAUAUGUUCAUGUCAUUCUCUUGCUGGUGGGGAGUGAGAUGACGAGAUAUCAACCGCUUCACACACAUGGAAUCAGGCUACUGGAGCUGUUGGAUUUGCAUGUCUACUUCACGAUCAUGGCAACACGCGUCAUUUGAUAGCUACGAGUCUCAUAAGCCCCUCUUUUAAUCAACUUUCACUUCCUGUCGGCGCAUUUUCAUGAGUUAGUACUGCUUAUAUUGACGAUAAUUAAACAAUUAAAAUAAAACGAAGCUGAUUGAUCCAUUUGAAUCUUCGAUGUUCACUCAUUCAUUCACAAGCAAAGUGAGCUCAAGGCAUAGGUUUGCUUACUAAACCUUUGACACCAUCACACCGAAAUGAAUUUAAGGUGAGACACGCUUUCAUUAAAGUCUUUUUAAAAAAACUUUACAAGAUAUUUAAUUAUUUUUAAAUUAAAUGAUUCACAAAGCAAAGAAAUUAGAGUGGUGAUAUUCGAACCCUCUUUAUUUAUCCCAACAACUCUUACUUUCCACGAUACUCAACUUCAUCGCAACAAAAUCCAUUAAUAAUAUUGAAAAACAUUCAUUUUUAAUUAUUUUAAAUGUUUUUCUUUGUUUUGCACAUAGAACAAAUGGUUUAAUGAAUAAAAAAAAUUAACAAAUCCUCAAAUCAACCAUGCCCGAGAACAAACAAAGAGAACUCAGCCAAAUCGCAAUUGAGAUUAUUUUUUCUCAAUCAAUAACAAGUCACCACUCAUUUAGCAAAGCGUGUACCAUCAGCCAUUGUCUAAUUGUUUCCAACCAUCGAAGAAGCGUAACGACACCUCAUGAUUCAUUUUUUAAUUGCAUUCAAAACAAAAGCAAAGUUUGGUUCAUCAACCACUUUUAACCUAUGGCUAUGCUUUAUGGUGCAGACGUGGAAAGCUUUCAUUGCAUUGAUUCACAAUCAGAAAACAAAACAGAGAUUUUAGUGGCGUGCAAGGCAGAUUUGGAAUUCGGCACUGAGUUCUUGUUUUGGGUUCCAUUCAAAUCAGUGUUCUCAUAAAUGUUGUUCAAUAUAUCUAUGAUGGAUUUGGUGGUUGUGAAAAUGGGUAUAUUAGUAAUUGUUGAAAGAGAGAGCGAAAUUGUGUAGAUGAGAGAAAAAAGAGAAAGUUCGAAAAAUAAAUGCUUUUUUAAUUUCUAAUGAGGGCAAAUUUAGGAAUAAGAGAAAUAAAUUAGAAAGUGGGGGUUGUUGAGACAAAAUUAGAGGGGAAGAGUGGAGGAGGGGUGGUGCAAAUAGCACCAUUCAGAAACUUAAUCAAUAUGAUUAAAUGGUUUAGAUUAAACUUGAUCGAUGUGAUUGAAAUUGAUCUGUUCUCCUAGUUGGUUUUUGAACGAUUAGGUUUAACCUUGGCCUUAAGAACCAAAUGUGGCUAGGUUGUGCAAAAUGCAUGACUUCAUGGAGGUUGGCCCAAGACAAGCCUAAAAGUGGGGUACAUGGUGAAGGGCUUAGGUCUGACCUAGAACUUCAACAUAUUGUAUCUUGGUUUUAGGCUUUGCUCUCCACUAGCGCAGGCUACGUAGUUCUCUUUGUGCUUAGUAGGGGUGAGCAUAUUUUAACCGAACCGAUCCAAACCGAUCCAAACCGACCUUUUGGAUCGGUUUGGAUCGGUUUCAUUAAUAAAAAUACUGGUUUCGGUUUAUUGGAUUGCAAACCGACAUCACUCAGUUUGGAUUUCGGUUUGGAAGGAUUCCAAACCGAUUCAAACCGAUCCAAUCUAGAAAUAUUAUAUAAUUACAUUAUAUUUUAAGUUAAGCAAUCUAACUAAUUAUAUUUAUUAUUUUAUGCAGAUUUUGGCAAAUGAAAAGUAAUUGGGCUAUAAAUUUU
rnacentral:lncRNA from 1 species